rnacentral:rRNA from 1 species
UGGCAUAACGAGGGUUCAACUGUCUCUUAUUCUUAAUCAGUGAAAUUGACCUCCCCGUGCAGAGGCGGGGAUAUAAAUACAAGACGAGAAGACCCUGUGGAGCUUAAAACUAAUAAGUUAAUUCAACAAAAUUAAAUUCUAAAGAAAUAACAUAAUGAAACUUGACUUAUAGUUUUUGGUUGGGGUGACCUCGGAGUAUAAAAUAACCUCCGAAUGAUAUAACCUAGAUUAACAAAUCUGAGUGUAUUCACAAUACCAGUAAUUGACCCAAUUUUUGAUCAACGGACCAAGUUACCCCAGGGAUAACAGCGCAAUCCUAUUUAAGAGCCCAUAUCGACAAUUAGGGUUUACGACCUCGAUGUUGGAUCAGGACAUCCAAAUGGUGCAACCGCUAUUAAUGGUUCGUUUGUUCAACGAUUAAAGUCCUACGUGAUCUGAGUUCAGACCGGAGAAAUCCAGGUCGGUUUCUAUCUGUAUGUUCAUUUCUCCCAGUACGAAAGGACAAGAGAAAUAAGGCCAACAUUAACAAAUGAGCCUUAGAACUAAUAUAUGAAUUAAUCUUAAUAUUUUUAAUCGAUA